UGCUAUAAGCUAGAUACAACUAUACGGCAUUUCAGAAUGUUUGUAAACAAUGGGCUCCAAGAUCCUUCCGGGUGGCAGAACGCAAGCGGCUUCCACUGACCUUACAUAGUUAAAACAUUGUUGUUGAUCAAAGUUGAAACAAUAACGAAAACGUGUUGUGUUUGGGGUUGUGCCGCCAGAUAUACAGCAAAAAGUGUAGGGUUUUUAUCGAUGUCCUUCAGAAAGAAAAAAAAUGAUCCAGCGGAACCUGA